rnacentral:tRNA from 1 species
UGCCAGGGAACUUGAAAAAGUAUAUGUUUUGAAAACAUAAAAUAGAAUUAAAAUUUUCUACUAGCNA